GAUCUCCCCUAUUGCGAAGCUAGGCACGGGUUAUUGGAGUGUUUUGACGCGGUACCACGUGCCGCUAGUUCCUUUGGCCUUGCCGAGUUAUCUAACCAAACCGUGUGCUGUAGUUUUGCUGCAGCAUGCAAACCUUGGGUGUUUUGUCUUCGGACUUGAUGCCCUCCCCAUACGAAACAGAUUGUAAUGAACGUGAAUGAAAGAUGGACGUGGCCAUAUGCAUGAUAGUAAUCAUGUGAUUUUGGCCUGUCUGUCAUUAAAGUAAUGUAACUUACAACUUUCAGCAACGGAUGUCUAGGUUCCCACAACGAUGAAGAACGCAGCGAAAUGCGAUACGUAAUGCGAAUUGCAAUUUCUCGUGAAUCAUCAAAAUUUUGAACGCACAUUGCGCUUCCGGGAUAUGCCCGGUAGCAUGCUUAUCUGAGUGUCCGCGAACCCCACUCAGCCUGAUUACUGUGUGAUGAGAGCUGGUCUGUGGCACUGCACCGGUUUUAGUACUGGUGCUGUGUUGGAAUGCGUGACGUUUUCUGCGUGGCGAGGCUGUUGGUUGUGUCUCGUGCUGUAUUGUGCAGUCGUCUCUGGUAGAGGCACUUUACGUGCAUUCGAAAGGAGAGUUGUCUGUGUAAUAUGUGCACUUUGAGUCACGUACCUUUUGCCGCACGAAUUGACCAUAUUGUUUGGUUGGUUCUGUGUGCGUUUUCG
rnacentral:rRNA from 1 species